CAUGGGUAGGAAGGAGUCUGGAGGGAGGGGAAGAGAGAGACUGGUGAGCUCUGUCUCAUUCUCCUGUCAUUGUGCCUGGCUCUGUGGGCAGAGGCAGUGCUAAUUCUGUGAAGGCACAGCUGUUGUCAGGUGACUGUACAGUGGCAGGCCUUUCUGGGUUCUGGAUGGUUGCUUGUUUCUACCCUGAAGACUUCACACCCCUCACCGUGUCCCCUGGUUGCAGCCUCCAUGUUUGCGGGAAGCCUUCAUUAAACAGUCUUCUCUUCCUAUUGUCUGUGUCUUGCCAGGACCUGAAUGAUGCAUAAUGAACGUGGUCAGACCUAGGACCAUAGUGUGCUCAGGAGGCUACAAUGUCUAUGAAAAAGCAGAAGAGGAAGUCUGCCGGGAGGGGGAGAGACAGCGUUAGCUGUAUUUGCAGUUUUAUUUAUUUCUUAAAUUAAAAAAGUAAAACACACCAGAAGCUAUUGUGUUAAAACUGUAAGUCAGUUAAAUCUAGGACAAGAGGAGUAUAUGAGAGACCCAAGGCUAAUUGCACAGGAUGGACAAUGCUCUCCCUGGAUACCUUGGAGGGACUCUUCACCAGGACCGUCUCUGAAGACACAGAGCCCACAGCCUUAGAUGAGGUGGGUCUGUCUUCUGUGCGUGGAGACAGUGGGCAGUACACACCACAAGGAGGAGGAGCAUGAUGGAAGCAGGAGAAACCUGAACCUGGGUCAGGCUAGAAGAGAUUGAAUCCAGGCCCUUUUAUGUGGUAAACAAAUGUUCUAUUAUUGAGUUGUGGCCACAUCCCCUGACCAGAUCAUCCUUGAAGACCUGUUGAACUGUUGAAGACACUCAAGAGCAGGAGGUCAUUGUUGUGUACCAAGGAAACACUGGGUCCUUGAAAGCUUUCCGGAGAGAUGCAGAGGCUGGUAGCAUCUCCCUCCUUGAUAUCAAGGUGACGAUUGGAUGAUUCUCUGAGGAGCACAAGGCAUGCCCUUUGCGAUGGAUGAGAAGGUUCUGCUCCCACCACCAUCCUCCCCUCUAGAUGGCUCUGGCUACCCCUUGUGAUGGAAACAGAUGGCUAAACCUCUGGGCUUCAGGCCUCACCUAGGCAUGUAAGCAGCAAAUGUCAUGCGGAGCUUUGCCUGAGGCCCUAAUUCUCAUGAGUCUCAUUUGCUGUCUUGCCACAGGCACUUAAGAACUGAGUACAAACUUUCCGAUGUUUUCAAAAAGAGGAUGUCACAACAACUGAGCUCCUGAGUUGAUUAGAGCACUGUGUGACUCGUCCACUAAGGUUAGUGGAGAAGAAUGCACUAUUGAAGCAGAGUUUCAAGUCAGAUCACAGGAGUGCAGAAGGAUGACGUUUCCCAUCACUGCCUGCUUCCACCUUAGUUUAUGAGUGUGAUACAGGGUCUCAGCUGUUGCCUGACUUUGCUUCCUGAGAGCUGGGAUUAUAGACAUCACCACACAAGGCACUCUUCCUAUUUUCUGGAAGGUUGUAUUGUCGAAUGACAAGGUGACUCAUCCCAGAAGCCAUAGGCUGCCAAGUGAAAAACCCAGCAUUCAUUUUCUGGUGUGUGUCUGCAUAAAUAUCUUCUGGUCACUGCCUUGACGGAGGCAAGCCAGCAGAUGCGCCUAUCCUCUGCCUCCUGAGUGCUGAGAUUAAAGGCCACUGAACCUCCAGUUCUUCACUUCUGCUCCUUUGUUCCUGAAGACCGGUGGCCAACAACCCCAGGACCAGAAAGAGCACAGAAGUGACUUCAAUCUACAAAUUCUACAAACUUUAGAACGCCCCCAAACUGCUGGCACACUCUGAAGCCACACCACAGGCUUGAUGGAGCAGAUCUCUUAGAGCCCUCAGAGGGAACACCCAGGGCUGAUACCCUGAAUUGAACUUUCAGCCUCUAGAACUCUGAGAGAGCCCAUUUCUUUAGUUUUAAACCAUGAGCAGGUGGUACUAGUUACAGAAGUCUGACAAACUGAAAUGCUAGCAUAGUUAGUUGUGGAGAAAAACUGACUGGCUACCUUUUGAUCACAUGGCCAAUUAUGCAACCAAUCAGAAACCAGAGCCUUUUUUUGUUUUUCCUUCAGUUGGACUGACUAUAUAGAAUGUUAUAGGCUCCAACCACUGGGAAAUGCCAGUGGAUGUUGUUAGGACCAAUGAAAAUGAUGAUGUGCCCAGCAGAUUUUAUAUGAAAGAGGUUUAUUAGAUGGAGAUGAAGAGAGAGAGAGAGCGAGACAUGAGAGGGGGAAGAAGGACAGAGAAAGGGGAGAGGGCAAGAGAGGAGAGGGUAAGAGCCGAGAGAGAGAGAGAGAGAGAGAGAGAGAGAGAGAGAGAGAGAGAGAGACAAAGACAAAGUGGCGGGUUAGUACUUUUAAGCAAUGUAACCACAACUGCCAGGUGUGUGGACGACACAUGAUGACAUCAUAGGUUGCUAGGCAACCCAGAAGCAGGCUGCCUAAAUACUAACAGAUGUGGCCAGAGGGUUAAAGAUGUGUGUGUUGGGGAAAUAGGAUAUUUCCCCCUAUUAGGUUGAAACUUCACCAAGAAAAUGGAAAUUUUCAGUUGGAUGUCAACCACUGAAAUAAUGUUGACUAAUACAGCUUUGUUCUAAUAAAAUAUCUUAAUUUCUCUAUGUCAA